rnacentral:lncRNA from 1 species
ACAGGCAUUUUUAAAAGAAAUCUGAGAGAGGCAAUGGAGUCUUACUUUUCCAAGCAGUAAGGGAGGAUGCCAGCAGCAAGCACGCGUUGCAUUCCGUAUUUCCUUUGCUUCCACUCCUCACUGCUGGACUAGGAGGGAGAUUUGCAAGGCCGAGAUGGUUUUAUUUUCCUCUGUAUUUUGCGAAUAGUACCAGCGUUUAGGUGGCUGCCUUGUCAGAGAAAGCUGCAUACAUCCAAGGAACAAAUUACCAAACCAUAUUUUUUUUUUCUGUUUUCAGAGGUAAGGAAGAUUUGAGUUUGCAGUCUUCAAGUGGGGACAAGUUUGUGUUUUAGCAUUUCCCAGGUAUCUUAGACGACGUAGGAAGCUGAUUUUGUGCUCUCAGAAUGUGUUGAUCUCUAAUUACCGCACAUCUGAACUUGUAUCAGUCUAGAGAAGGAAGCUAUUUAUUAAGAGAUAAGAGUCUAAGGCAUUUUUUUUCUCCUAGACUAGAAGGUUCAUGCAAAUGAAUGAUCACUGAGUAAUUCCUGCCAUGAAAAUAAGGCCCGUUAUCAAAAGAGUAGCCAAAUAUUAUUCCAGAUUGGAUGCAUGAGUUGAGAGAAAGAAGAAGAGAGGAUCAAAGCUUUUCCAAAAAGGAAGAGAAUGCCAAGACAGUAUAUGAUCAUUUGCUCCUAUAACAGUUAGGUAUAGUACAUUGAUUUUAGAUGAUGUCUAAUUGCCCAAUGUCGUUGAAUUAUGACUUAGAUAUAUUCUUUUUCUGUUCUUUUGCUCAGUAGUUCACAGCAAAUGUUUUUAAUUAAAGCAUGGAAUAUGGAAAACAGAAAAACUAAAAAAGCUAGUGCUUUAGUCUCAUCUGAAAUUCUGUGCUUUCCUAGGUUCUCUUCAGACCCAGGCAUCUUGUUGCCUCUCUCCACGAGCUCUGUCACGUGGCUCUUUCAGACUGCCCACCCCUGGGUGCACAGGUACGUCCACUCUUGCUGUGUUUGGCUCUCUGGGUCAGUACUGUAUUCUCACAGUCCAGGAUGAGG